rnacentral:rRNA from 1 species
UACGUAGGGAGCAAGUGUUGUUCGGAUUUACUGGGCGUAAAGGGCGCGUAGGCGGCGCGGUAAGUCACUUGUGAAAUCUCUGAGCUUAACUCAGAACGGCCAAGUGAUACUGCAGUGCUAGAGUGCAGAAGGGGCAAUCGGAAUUCUUGGUGUAGCGGUGAAAUGCGUAGAUAUCAAGAGGAACACCUGAGGUGAAGACGGGUUGCUGGGCUGACACUGACGCUGAGGCGCGAAAGCCAGGGGAGCAAACGGG